AUUCCGGAAAGCAAGGGAACUAGGUCUACAACCAAGAAUCAACUACCCAGCAAAACUAACUAUAUUCUUACAGGGGAAAGUAUGGUCAUUCAACAAAAUAGAAGAAUUCCAAGAAUUCGUAAAGAAAAGACCAGACCUGAACAGAAAAUUUGAUGUCCAAGCACAGAACUCAAGAGAAUCAUCAAAAGGUACCCCUUCCUCUGUCCCAGGGAAGACAUGAAGAUGAAAGAGAAAAUAGUCCCAAAUUCUAUGCCAUAAAGAACAUCACCCUGGGAGUCCAUAGAAUAAUUCCAGCAAUUCUAGUGUUGCUCCGAAUAUUUUUGGAACUCUUCUUUCAGAAUGUGAACAUCUGGAACAUUCAAACUGAUGUUACUCCACAACCUUGGGGGUGGUCCGUGGAUGCACUCAUGGAUCUACAUUCAGAUGCAUAUGGAUCACAUGCUCUGCCAAGAGCCUGCUCCAGACCAAAAUGAAGCCUUGCCUGGCACCCUACAGAGAAUGAAAAGAUCCAUAUAUCUUAGGACCCAGAACCCUCUCUAUAGUGAAGGCUGCAUAGAAACACAUGAGAAUAUGUGCUUGUAUGAUUCCUUUAAUACAGGAUUAAAAGAACCUCUCUUAAGGUCAUGACUAAGAAAAAAUAGGCCUUCUUUCCCUCCUUCCCUCCCUCCCUCCUUUCAUCUUCUCUUUUUCUUCCCUCCCUGCUUUCCUCCUUCCCUUCCUUUAUCCCUCCCUCCCUCCCCCAAACCCCCUUCCUUCCCCUCCCAUCUCCUUUCUUCCCUCUCUCCUUCCCUCCUUCCUUCCUUCCUUCCUUCCUUCCUUCCUUCCUUCCUUCCUUCCUUCCUUCCUUCCUUCCUUCCUUCCUUCCUUCCUUCUUUCUUUUUCUUUCUUUGGAUCUCCUUAUCUAAGAUUAGAAGUGGUCACCCAAUGGUCACCCAAUGGACAUCAGAGAUUAUAGGUAUGUGCCACCACACUUGCCUUCUUUCUUCCUGUUUCCUUGAUUCCUAUUUCAGAGUCCAUUGGGUUUCUCAUUUUCACUUAAAAGAACAUGAUCAGAGUCUCAAUGAAUAGUCAACAAGCAUUAGACACAAGUUAACUUGCUUAGCGUGUUCUAUCUCGAAACACAGCUGUUGGAAGACAAUACUAGGACUGUGAUGGCAAUCCCAAACAUCAGCAUCUUACCUCCAAACUGUGCUAGAAUUUUCCACUUGGGGGUGGAGUGCUUUUCCAAGGUUGGUCUUGGCCUUGAGCUGUGUUGAGACAAUAUCAAUAAGUAACAGGUUGGGGACUGUUCCUGUACUUCUUUAUUUGCAUCAUGAAUAAAUGAUAUUUGUACUCAUGAUAAGAACUCUGA
rnacentral:lncRNA from 1 species